AUUGAACGCUGGCGGCAGGCCUAACACAUGCAAGUCGAGCGGAUGAAGGGAGCUUGCUCCUGGAUUCAGCGGCGGACGGGUGAGUAAUGCCUAGGAAUCUGCCUGGUAGUGGGGGAUAACGUCCGGAAACGGGCGCUAAUACCGCAUACGUCCUGAGGGAGAAAGUGGGGGAUCUUCGGACCUCACGCUAUCAGAUGAGCCUAGGUCGGAUUAGCUAGUUGGUGGGGUAAAGGCCUACCAAGGCGACGAUCCGUAACUGGUCUGAGAGGAUGAUCAGGCACACUGGGAGUGAGGCACGGUCCAGACUCCUACGGGAGGCAGCAGUGGGGAAUAUUGGACCAUGGGCGAAAGACUGAUCCAGCCAUGCCGCGUGUGUGAAGAAGGUCUUCGGAUUGUAAAGCACUUUAAGUUGGGAGGAAGGGCAGUAAGUUAAUACCUUGCUGUUUUGACGGUACCAACAGAAUAAGCACCGGCUAACUUCGUG
rnacentral:rRNA from 1 species